UCAAACUUGGUCAUUUAGAGGAAGUAAAAGUCGUAACAAGGUCUCCGUUGGUGAACCAGCGGAGGGAUCAUUACUGAGUUUUCUAAACUCCCAAACCCAUGUGAACAUACCUUUUGUUGCCUCGGCAGUGGUGCCGUCACGGUCUCCCCGUGGCGUCAGCCUGCCGGUGGACCCAAAACUAAACUCUUGUUGUUACAUUGUCAUUCUGAAUUUAAAAACUUAAUCAGUUAAAACUUUCAACAACGGAUCUCUUGGUUCUGGCAUCGAUGAAGAACGCAGC
rnacentral:misc_RNA from 1 species